rnacentral:rRNA from 1 species
GAUGAACGCUGACAGAAUGCUUAACACAUGCAAGUCUUUGGCGAAGCUGUGCUUGCACAGCCUAGCCAAGGCGGACGGGUGAGUAACGCGUAAGGAACUUGCCCUGCAGUCAGGGAUAACAGACGGAAACGACUGAUAAGACCUGGUAAAGUCAGGCGGACUCAUGUCCAGCCUGAUGAAAGGAGAUGCUGCAGGAGAGCCUUGCGUCCUAUUAGCUUGUUGGUGGGGUAACGGCCCACCAAGGCGAUGAUAGGUAGCCGGCCUGAGAGGGUGGACGGCCACAAGGGGACUGAGAUACGGCCCUUACUCCUACGGGAGGCAGCAGUGGGGAAUAUUGGACAAUGGGGGCAACCCUGAUCCAGCAAUUCUGUGCGCACGAUGAAGGUUUUCGGAUUGUAAAGUGCUUUCAGCAGGGAAGAAAAAAAUGACGGUACCUGCAGAAGAAGCGACGGCUAAAUACGUG